ACGGAGGAUGCGAGCGUUAUCCGGAUUUAUUGGGUUUAAAGGGUGCGUAGGCCGAUCGAUAAGUCAGCGGUGAAAUACCAUGGCCCAACCAUGGAACUGCCGUUGAUACUGUCGGUCUUGAAUAUGGUCAAGGUAGGCGGAAUGUGUAAUAUAGCGUUUUAAUGCUUAGAUAUUACACUUAACACCCGUUGCGGUGGCACAUUACCGGGACUUUAUUGCCUCUGAUCCACGUGAGCGUAUGGAUCUAACUG
rnacentral:rRNA from 1 species